rnacentral:rRNA from 1 species
ACUGGCGAGAGACCGAUAGCGCACAAGUAGAGUGAUCGAAAGAUGAAAAGCACUUUGGAAAGAGAGUUAAAAAGCACGUGAAAUUGUUGAAAGGGAAGCGCUUGCAAUCAGACUUGGACUUGGCUGUUCAACAGGUCUUCUGACCUGCCUAUUCAGUCUUGUCCAGGCCAGCAUCAGUUUCGGCGGCCGGAUAAAGGCCCUGGGAAUGUGGCUUCUCCUUCGGGGGAAGUGUUAUAGCCCAGGGUGUAAUACGGCCAGCUGGGACUGAGGUCCGCGCUUCGGCUAGGAUGCUGGCGUAAUGGUUGUAAGCGGCCCGUCUUGAAACACGGACCAAGGAGUCUAACAUCUAUGCGAGUGUUAGGGUGUCAAACCCUUACGCGUAAUGARAGUGAACGGAGGUGAGAACCCGCRAGGGUGCAUCAUCGACCGAUCCUGAUGUCUUCGGAUGGAUUUGAGUAAGAGCAUAGCUGUUGGGRACCCGRAAAGAUGGUGRAACUAUGCCUGRAAUAGGGUGRAGCCAGAGGAAACUCUGGUGRUUCUCGCAGCGGUUUCUGRACGUGCANAAUCG